AGUACGGCGAGUGAGCGGGAAGAGCUCAAAUUUAAAAUCUGGCAGGCUACGCUUGUCCGAAUUGUAAUCUCGAGAAGUGUUUUCCGCGUUGGCCUGUGUACAAGUCCCUUGGAACAGGGCGUCAUAGAGGGUGAGAAUCCCGUCCUUGACACAGACACCCAAUGCUUUGUGAUACACUCUCAAUGAGUCGAGUUGUUUGGGAAUGCAGCUCAAAAUGGGUGGUAAAUUCCAUCUAAAGCUAAAUACUGGCGAGAGACCGAUAGCGAACAAGUACCGUGAGGGAAAGAUGAAAAGCACUUUGGAAAGAGAGUCAAACAGUACGUGAAAUUGUUGAAAGGGAAACGAUUGAAGUCAGUCGUGCCUGCCUAGUCUCAGCCUUUUGGUGUACUACUAGGUCGGCAGGUCAGCAUCAGUUUGGGAGGAUUAACAAGGGAGUUAGGAAUGUGGCAACCUCGGUUGUGUUAUAGCCUAGCUUCGCAUUGAUCUUGCUGGACUGAGGAACGCAGUGCGCCCGCAAGGGUUGGUCUUCGGACACAUUCGCACUUAGGAUGCUGGCAUAAUGGCUUUAAACGACCCGUCU
rnacentral:rRNA from 1 species